UACGUAGGGUGCGAACGUUAAUCGGAAUUACUGGGCGUAAAGCGUGCGCAGGCGGUUUUGUAAGCCAGGUGUGAAAUCCCCGGGCUCAACCUGGGAAUGGCAUUUGGGACUGCAAGGCUGGAGUGCGGCAGAGGAGACUGGAAUUCCUGGUGUAGCAGUGAAAUGCGUAGAUAUCAGGAGGAAUACCGAUGGCGAAGGCAGGUCUCUGGGCUGACACUGACGCUCAUGCACGAAAGCGCGGGGAGCAAACAGG
rnacentral:rRNA from 1 species